UUUUUGUGUUGGAACUGACACAUAAUGUGUAAAUAUUAUGCUUAACUGCUUACACAAUGAAUGUGUAAAACACGUUAACCAGUAUACAAUAAAAUGAAAUGCAUAAUUUUUGUAGUUUUAAUGGCGUGCACUGACACUGAUUAUCCUGUACUUUUGUUUGUUAUAAAAACCAAAUAUCAUAUAUAACACAUUCCUUUAUCAAGUAUAAGAUGUUUGUGCAACAGGAAAUAUACAAGCAAGUUCGGUCAAAAGCACAAAUAAGUCUGCACUUCACCACAAAGAUAAAUAAAAAAUAUAAAGUUUUACAAUGCAACUUUGUCCUUAGUCAAAACGAUUUGCCCAGGAACAGAUAAUAUAUUUAUGAGACCAAAGAUUGUCCAUAAGACAGUACCGAAAAUAAAAUAUAUAUAACACUGUUAACCACUACUAACACACAGUGUUGGGGCUAGUUACUUAAAAAAGUAAUAUAUUACGUAUUACAUAUUACUCUCAAAAAUAGUAAUGUCUUACUUUACUUUAUUACUCCCUGGAGAAAGUAACUAGUUAUAUUACUAGUUAUAUUACUAGUUACAUUUUUUUUCUGGACAAGAAUGUUUAUUUGGGCAAGCCACGGCCAAGAAAAUGCUGGCUUCCUUACCCACUACUGGACGUGGGGCACAGCGUUUGGAGAAACAUUAAAGAGUGUGCACUUCACCGUCAAGUUAUUUUCCUUCCGUUGAACAUAAUAAAAUAUGACUGAAUCUCCACCCGUCGAAACCAGCUUUCUGUUGCUGGGAACCUUCCCCAGAAAAUGCUUGCCGUUGUUGAUGCUUCCAUUUACACGAUCUGUCUUUGAGUGUGCCGCUGCCGCUCUGUCCUGCUGGCUGCCGGGUGUCGACCAAUCGGUGAUGGUAAAUGAUACCUCGUGCCAAACUUAGACCAAUCACUGUUCCAUUCACGCCCUCCUCCCCUUCCCUUUUGUUCUCUGUGUUUUGUGCCUUGUGUGAUGAAGGUGCUACUGGCGAAUGUAACUUAAGUAACUAGCUCGGGAAAACUGUAAUAAUAUUACCAUUUUCAGACGGGUAAUGCCUUACACUACUAGUUACUGAAAAAAGUAAUAUUAUUACAGUAACUAGUUACUUUGUAACUAGUUACACCCAACACUGCUAACACAUAACACCCAGCGGCCAGCGGUGAUUUUCAGAAGGACCUGCCGAGAUCAAGCUGCGUUGGGCGGGGUACAUGAGCGCUAAGUACCCCUUGGUUGUCUGGAUCAGAACUCCGAAAAAGUCGGGGCAGAUUUUUUAAUAAACGCUCUCUUUAUAAACCGACCGCAAAUUUCAACUUUUUUUACAUACAUUCUCGCCUAAAAAGCUUUUGAACAUACACUUUGUGACACAAUAAGAGUAAUAUUUCAAACAUUAUGCAGGCGUUCUCUUCCAUUGGUGGCUGUCGUAAGUUCACACGAAUCUGCUGAUGACGUUUCACAUGGACAGACAACUACACAUUAUUGUAUUUUUAAUUGUAUUUUUUGCGUGUGUUAUUUUUAUUUCAUUAUUAUGAAAAUCAUGAUCAUUAAUAUUGAGCCUUGGCUGGCAGUCUGUUUUGAAUUUGUUUUAUUGAAAAAACAAACACACAACGCAUAUUGUGUUGCGCCUGCGCAGUGACGUUCUUUUCCAACCGCCUUUCCAGUCAAGAGGUCAAGAAUGUUCCUGUCUGCAUCAGGUAAGAAAUUAAAUUAAAAAUUACAGUUAUAAUAUGAUAUCUAUUUUUCAUAUAGUGUAAGAAACUUUCGUAUUAAUUGCGCAGGAGACUGUUGAUUUAAACUUUAUUAUGGUAACGUUAAAUGCUCGCUCGUUUUGCAAAGUUACGUUUGGAGAUUCACGUUAACAGUCAUUGUUUAAUGAAAGGCACAUUGGACUACGGGUUAGUAUGUGUGACACUUGCAGCACUUUAACGUAAAUCUUAAACACCGUGUCCUAAAUAGACGUGACACGCGGUAACGGGUUUCUUUUCAGUUUAUGUCCUUACGUUAUAGGACGGGUCAUUAUAAAUUAUGCCUUUCGAUUAUCGCAACGCCUCGUCGCGUUUGGUUAAGCACAUGGUGGAACAGUAUGCACAUCACUGUACCUAACGUACUGUACACUUGUGAGCGGCAUGACGAGACAAAAGACGGUAAAACUCAUUAUUAAUCGGUGAUGCUGUACAUUCUGGAAGAUGCACAGCCACAUUUGAUAAUACUGUUUUUUAUUUUCGUGUCGCGCCGCUCGCGUUCAAUAUAAAGUUAGACAAGACGCAAUUAAUUACUGGGAGAGUAGUGGUCUAAUGGUAAGAGUCGAACUUCAUGAACCUUUCACUGCUUGCAGUAAGGCUAAAGUGCUACGUGAAUAAGAUGGGUGUAACGUUAGUUUUGUGCUACGAGCUGUAAAGUGUUUUUGCACUAUUGAGUUAUAAAUACUGCCCAGUAAUACUUAACUAGAUGUAAAUCACAAUUCUUGUGUCAAUGUUUGUUUGUAAUCUUUUUCAGCUAUCCAUCUGAAAAAGAAAAGCUGGCACUCUCAAAGGAGAUUGUGUUGUUGGUUUAUGGUCUCAUUUGGUCAAAAAGAGGGACAUGGUCCGAGCUUUUUUUUUUUUGAUGGGCCAUCACACAGUGGAUUUAUAAAAAUGAGAUUACAGAACAUCAGACGGUAGCUUCAAUGGAGUUGAAGUGGGAGGACAUCAUCAAUAAAGAAUGCCAUUGGCCAAACCUUCAGUCAUCAAAGAAGAUGGAUACAGGGGGACAUCAAGUUUUCCAGACUUACCGAUGGGAAAGAAGAAAUGGGAAUGUGACAAUUAUUGAGAAACUCAGGGAAAAAGCAUCUUUAGAGAAGAAAAUGGACAUCAGACAUUUAUUUAAGAAAGCUGACAGUCAAC